AUGAACGCUAGCGGCAGGCUUAACACAUGCAAGUCGAGGGGCAGCGCGGGGCGGCAACGUCCUGGCGGCGACCGGCGGAAGGGUGCGUAACGCGUGAGCGACAUGCCCGUUGCCCGGGGACAACCGGUGGAAACGCCGACUAAUCCCCGAUGGGACGGAGGCCCUCAUGGGUCUCUGUUGAAAGUUACGGCGGCGACGGAUUGGCUCGCGUCCGAUUAGCUUGUUGGCGGGGUAACGGCCCACCAAGGCUACGAUCGGUAGGGGUUCUGAGAGGAAGGUCCCCCACAAUGGAACUGAGACACGGUCCAUACUCCUACGGGAGGCAGCAGUGAGGAAUAUUGGUCAAUGGGCGGAAGCCUGAACCAGCCAUGCCGCGUGCGGGAAGGAGGCCCUAUGGGCUGUGAACCGCUUUUGCCUGGGGGCAAUAAGGGCGUCGCGCACGUCCGAUGAGAGUACCAGGCGAAUAAGCAUCGGCUAACUCCGUGCCAGCAGCCGCGGUAAUACGGGGGAUGCGAGCGUUAUCCGGAUUCAUUGGGUUUAAAGGGUGCGUAGGCUGUGCGUCAAGUCAGGGGUGAAAUUCCGGGGCUCAACUCCGGGGCUGCCCUUGAUACUGUCGCGCUGGAGUGCGGAUGCCGCCGGAGGAAUGAGUGGUGUAGCGGUGAAAUGCUUAGAUAUCACUCAGAACACCGAUUGCGAAGGCAUCUGGCGAAUCCGUAACUGACGCUGAGGCACGAAAGCGUGGGGAUAGAACAGGAUUAGAUACCCUGGUAUUCCACGCCGUAAACGAUGAUGGCUAACCGCCGGCGACACACUGUCGGUGGCCAAGCGAAAGCGAUAAGCCAUCCACCUGGGGAGUACGUCGGCAACGAUGAAACUCAAAGGAAUUGACGGGGGCCCGCACAAGCGGAGGAACAUGUGGUUUAAUUCGAUGAUACGCGAGGAACCUUACCCGGGCUUGAAUUGCAGAGGAAGGAUUUGGAGACAAUGACGCCCUUCGGGGUCUCUGUGAAGGUGCUGCAUGGUUGUCGUCAGCUCGUGCCGUGAGGUGUCGGCUCAAGUGCCAUAACGAGCGCAACCCCUGCCGCCAGUUGCCAUCAGGUCAUGCUGGGCACUCUGGCGGGACUGCCACCGCAAGGUGUGAGGAGGGGGGGGAUGACGUCAAAUCAGCACGGCCCUUACGUCCGGGGCGACACACGUGUUACAAUGGCGGCCACAGAGGGAAGCUACCCGGCGACGGGAUGCGGAUCUCGAAAAGCCGUCCCAGUUCGGACUGGAGUCUGCAACCCGACUCCACGAAGUUGGAUUCGCUAGUAAUCGCGCAUCAGCCAUGGCGCGGUGAAUACGUUCCCGGGCCUUGUACACACCGCCCGUCAAGCCAUGGAAGCCGCGGGCGCCUGAAGUCCGUGACCGAGAGGAGCGGCCUAGGGCGAAAGUGGUAACUGGGGCU
rnacentral:rRNA from 1 species